CGCGGAUCGUGGAAAGAAAAACGGUUUCUCUGUGGCUUUGGAGGCUGUCCUGGAACUAGCUCUUGUAGAGCAGGCUGAUCUCGAACUCACAGAGAUCUACCUACCCUCUGCCUCCCAAGUGCUGGGAUUAAAGGCAUGCGCCACCAACGCCCGGCUUGCAAAUCCUAACUUAUUUUAACCUAUUAAAGAUAAUUAAAACAUGAAAGUUAAUGGUCAGUCACCUUAUAUAUUAUCCAAUUCUUUAAUGUUCUCAGAACUAUGCUUGUUCAAAUGUAAUUCAUUUACAACAACAGUUUUAUUUAGCCUCCUGUAUGUGUUUUUAAGGUUAAGUCUAAAACUUGUAACUAAGAACAAAGUUUGUUUAAAAUCAGGUAUAUUUAGUAGAUUGCUGUUCACAGACUCUUCAGAGAUCUUCUGAAUGUGGCAUUUAAAGGUUUAAAGGUUCUGACUAUCUUGUGAUAGUCAGAAAUGCCGGCUCCUAGAGGCCAUCCUAAGGUCUCCAAAGAAGACUAUGGGGCACAGAUGAUGCUACCUGGAUUGUGGUAAUGCUAACCACUAAGGAAACACUGCCCCCUGCCUCAGCUGCCACCAGGACCCUGCCCAAACUGUGGGCAAGCAGGACACUGGAGAGUGCCACACUUUGCCUAGACAAGCUAGGCCAGUCCCCCAAGUUCCUCCACCACUGGAAAGUCUCUCAGAUCAUCUGGGCUUAGCAGUCAAAGACUGACACUGCUCUGGGACCUCUGCUCACAACUAAGCCAUCGAGACCCCAGGAGCCUAGGGUAACUGUCUAGGUAAUGGGUAAGUCUCUGUUAUCUAAUUGAUACAUAGACCAUUUGGAUUAUACUUCCUGAUAUAAUUUAUCCUUCUCAGAUCUCUGGUGGCAUGAAUGACUAAGCUAACUAUAGCUUUGUCAGUUUAAUAGCACCAGGUAACCAGCUACCUUCUUAGAUCAUUUCAUGUGUAAAAAUCAGGCCUUGCUUUUUCUAGAGCUCCUAGAUCUCCUGCUGAGAAAGUCAGAUAUGUUUGCCUUGCUAAUAGACUUCAAAAUGAAGGAUAAACAGGUUUCAGAUGUGACUUUUUACUUACUGGCUUUGCAGUGAAUGCGCAGUAACCAACCAUGUAUCUCAUGGUAAAUGAUUGGACAAAACAGAUUUUAAGUUUAUGUCAGUUCUGAGGGUGUAAGAAAGUGAUCUAAGGUAUGUAAAGGCCUGAGGAUAUGAAAGCUUAAGUAAUUUUUGAGGGUCUAGGAAAGUGUUUAUAGGUAUAUGAAUGCAAGUUGUAAAGGUAUAAGAAAGUGAUUUAAGGGAAUAAACAAUGUUUCAGAUUUCUUCCUCAUCUAUGCUAUUGUUAUACUAAGAUUUCAAAAGUUGAGAGUUUUAACAUUGAUCAAUGGAGUUCUGAUAAGCUGGUAAACACUGACUACUGUUAUUAUGCACAAGCCCAAGAUUUUAAAUUUUAAAUUGUUUUCUAAAUAAAGGCUAAAAGGUGCUUCUCAUCACCCUAAAAAUAUCUCUGUCCAAUCUAUAUAUCCAGCCUUAUGGACAGAGAAAAGAAUGUUCAUGCUUUUUAGCCCAAAGCCAGGACUUGUGCUGUGACUCAAAGGCGUGAAUCUACUCCAGCUAUUUUACAGACACCUGUUAGCUGCUGUUUCUACAAUGUGGAUUUUAGUACAUACUGCAAAC
ensembl:lncRNA